AUGGCAGAGGAGAGGAAUACCCAUGCCGGAGUCAGUUGUGAGGAGGAUCCGGUUGUCAACAGCGUAGUGUGCUACUCGCUGGUCCUGUCGAGCGCGAGCAAGCCUGGUACAACAUCGAUUCCAGAACCAGCAUUACAUAAAAAUCAUGCUUACUUCCUACGUCGAGUGUACAGUAACACGGCCCACUGGCAUGAGAAAGAGAGAGAGAUGGCAGAGGAGAGGAAUACCCAUGCCGGAGUCAGUUGUGAGGAGGAUCCGGUUGUCGACAGCGUAGUGUGCUACUCGCUGGUCCUGUCGAGCGCGAUCAAGGAGAUCCCCGGGAUUAACGGAUGGUGUCUGUGA
rnacentral:rRNA from 1 species